rnacentral:piRNA from 1 species
UGCUGACACUGGUGCCGGAUCUGCUG